UACGUAGGGUGCGAGCGUUGUCCGGAAUUAUUGGGCGUAAAGAGCUUGUAGGCGGUCUGUCGCGUCUGCUGUGAAAAUCCGGGGCUCAACCCCGGACUUGCAGUGGGUACGGGCAGACUAGAGUGUGGUAGGGGAGACUGGAAUUCCUGGUGUAGCGGUGAAAUGCGCAGAUAUCAGGAGGAACACCGAUGGCGAAGGCGGGUCUCUGGGCCGAUACUGACGCUGAGGAGCGAAAGCGUGGGGAGCGAACAGG
rnacentral:rRNA from 1 species